rnacentral:rRNA from 1 species
CUUGACAUCCAGAGAAUUUAGCAGAGAUGCUUUAGUGCCUUCGGGAACUCUGAGACAGGUGCUGCAUGGCUGUCGUCAGCUCGUGUUGUGAAAUGUUGGGUUAACGUCCGCAACGAGCGCAACCCUUAUCCUUUGUUGCCAGCACGUAAUGGUGGGAACUCAAAGGAGACUGCCGGUGAUAAACCGGAGGAAGGUGGGGAUGACGUCAAGUCAUCAUGGCCCUUACGAGUAGGGCUACACACGUGCUACAAUGGCGCAUACAAAGAGAAGCGACCUCGCGAGAGCAAGCGGACCUCAUAAAGUGCGUCGUAGUCCGGAUUGGAGUCUGCAACUCGACUCCAUGAAGUCGGAAUCGCUAGUAAUCGUAAAUCAGAAUGUUACGGUGAAUACGUUCCCGGGCCUUGUACACACCGCCCGUCACACCACGGGAGUGGGUUGCAAAAGAAGUAGAUAGCUUAACCUUCGGGAGGGCGUUUACCACUUUGUGAUUCAUGACUGGGGUGAAGUCGUAACAAGGUAGGCGUAGUGCU